rnacentral:rRNA from 1 species
UACAGAGGUCCCAAGCGUUGUUCGGAUUCACUGGGCGUAAAGGGUGCGUAGGUGGUGAGGUAAGUCGGAUGUGAAAGCUCGGAGCUCAACUCCGAAAUGGCAUUGGAAACUACCUUGCUCGAGGGUUGGAGGGGGGACUGGAAUACUUGGUGUAGCAGUGAAAUGCGUAGAUAUCGGGAGGAACACCUGUGGCGAAAGCGGCUCACUGGACCAUUACUGACGCUGAGGCUCGAAAGCUAGGGGAGCAAACAGG